GACGAACGCUGGCGGCGUGCCUAAUACAUGCAAGUCGAGCGAAGCGGCGGAUGGGUGAGUAACGCGUGGGUAACCUGCCCUUAAGCUUGGGAUACCAUUUGGAAACAGAUGCUAACACCGGAUACUAAAGGAUGGAGCUGGGGUGCAUUAGCUAGUUGGUAAGGUAACGGCUUACCAAGGCGAUGAUGCAUAGCCGGGUUGAGAGACUGAUCAGCCACAUUGGGACUGAGACACGGCCCAAACUCCUACGGGAGGCAGCAGUAGGGAAUCUUGCACAAUGGGCGAAAGUCUGAUGGAGCCACGCCGCGUGAGUGAAGAAGGUUUUCGGAUCGUAAAGCUCUGUCAUUGGGUAAGCGGUAAUCGACGAGGAAGUCACGGCUAACUACGUGCCAGCAGCCGCGGUAAUUC
rnacentral:rRNA from 1 species